UUCAUCUUUCCUUGCCUUUUUUUCUCACUUCCCACAGCAGAGGAAACUUGCCAGACAAGAAUAGGAAAGUCCCAACAUCACCACUUUCUGAUCAACUUUCCUUUCUUCUAGCCUCACAACAUUUUUCUCCCAUUCUAUCCCCACUUGAGACAAAAGUCUCAAAAAUCCUUUCAUAUUACCAGGAGGAAAGACAAACUUCAUUCUUUGGCUAGAAUGGAUUCACUUGGCAUUGUCCUAAUAAAUCUGCCUUUGAAGCUGACGAAUCAUGUAUGUAUUCAAUCUUUCCUUCUUUCCUCUUUAUCAAUUGCCAUGGAAUUUGUAAAGAGUACUUUGAACCAAGUCUUCCCUUACUUCCAGUCACCCUAACCCUCCCUCAUAGCUUGCAAUUUCACACCUUUAUAUUUAUUUCCUCUAUUUCAAGAACCCAAUCCCGUUGCUUUCAAGGUUCAUUUUAGAAUUUUCCUUGUAGAUUUGACUUUUGCAUCUGAAUAUCAGGACUGUCCUUUCUCAUUUGGAGCUGCCUUUAACUCCUUGAUCAAUUGCCUUGGCCAACAUGGGAAUGUUACUCUGAAACACAAUGCUUUCCUCUGCCUUUGACCUAAACCCUGCAGUGUUCCUGGAGAGCGCUUUCAUGACACCUGCUCAAAGUCAUGCUCUUUUUUUUCUCAGACACCUAAUGCUGUGCAGUUGGUUCCUUUUCUUUUCCAACUUUUUCUCUUUCUACCUUGUGGCCUUAAAUUCUACAGACAAAUGCUGCCAAAAUCCACACAGUUUCUGGUUUGCUGAUACCAGCCAAGGGCUCCUGGUGCUCUCAGCUACUGUUUCCCUCUACCUCAGCACCACUUGAUCAGUUCCCUGAAAAAGAUUCCAGGCAAGGCUUACAUGUAGCAGAUUUUCUCUGGCUCUUCCUGUACUCCCAACAAGUCUCGCCUAGCUAAAAAAAAUUAUUUGAGUUUCUCUGCCCUUUCUGAAUAGGGCACAGAGGCCAUUGCAUAUCUUCCCAAUGUUCUUCAGUGUUGACCUUUCAGUUCUGCAAACUGGGAAUUUGUAGAAACUCAGAUGCCUGCCCAUUAACCAAACAACCCUACUACACUACACACAAUUUUCAAGGUGCAAGUGGGCAAACACUCCACCUGAAGGACUCCAUAUAGCAUACGAGAGUGGUGGUCUCAUGAUAUUCAUGCUAGUUAGAGGCCGGCUCAGAAAUUUCUGCACAGACAAGGAGCAGUAGUCUCACCUGGUCUGGAUGAAGCAGGCUCUGUCAACUCUGUCUAUAUCUAAGGGGAAAAAAGCAGUAAACAUGCAAUAUGAUGUGCCUUGAAAAGCGAGAAAAGUCUCAGUAAGAAACCAAUAGGCUUCCUCAAUUACACUCAAAAUCUGACCUGUCCCACUCUUUCCCACACAAGGAACAGGAUUCUAUGUGUUCUCCAAACUCAUGUUCUAGCUGCUAAGAAAUCAGGACAGUCUAGAGAAAACUUCCUUAUAUGCCCCAUCAUCUCCCAAAUGGGGAUGGGAACAUUGGGAAUUUGGGUCCAUUUGAAGAAGACCAUGCUAUUUUUUAGUCAUUUCCUCCCAGAGGAUUUUGUUCAGAUGAGGAAUUAGCUAAUCUCAAGGUUAUUUUUGAUGUUUGCUAGAUCUACACUUUCCACCUUGUAAUAGCCCCCAAGAAUAGAAAUUGGUACAUUAUUUCUCUUCAUAGAUAAAAGCUGUUGAAUAAUGUCUACCUCCCAAUGAAACUGGCGAUGAACUUUUGAAAAUCCGCAUCAGAUUGCUACCUAAUCUAUGCCAAACAGUAAUUGGAUAGACACUUUAGAAGCAUAUUAGGGAUUAUCCAAUUAUUUUUCUAAGUGUUCACUUCAACAUUCUCUCUACUUUUAGAAUCCUUCGUUGGACUCCAGAAUAAAAGACUGAAUCGAUUUUGGUAGUGGGGGAUGGGUUCCUUUUCCUUCCCAUCUAUUUUUCUUUCUACCUAAUGACCUUAAAACUCUACAGACAACUGCUGCCAAAAUCUACCCAGUCCCUGGCUUGCUGAUAACAGUCUAGUCCUCCAGUUGGUCUCAGCUACUGUUUCCCUCUACCUCAGCACCACUCAAUCAGUUCUCCAAAAACGAUUCCUGUCAAGACUGACAUUUGCAGAUUCUCCCUGGCUCUUGCACUGCUCCCAACAUGUCUCACCUAGACAAAAAAUUGGAUUAGUUGCUCUACCCUCUCUGAAUAGGGCACAGAGGCUAUUUCCUGUCUUCACAAUGAGAUUCAAUGUUGACCCUUCAAUUCUACAAAUUGGGAAUUUGUAGAAACACAGCUGCUUACCCAUUAACCAAACAAUCAUACUACACCACACACAAUUUUCAGGUGCAACUGGGCAAACACUCCACCUGGAGGACUCAUGAUAUUGAUGAGAGAAAUGCAAAUUAAGAUAAUUCUUUGGUACCAGUAUACAUCUCUCAGGUUGGCUAAAAUGACAGCAAAAGAUAUGGAUGAAUGUUGCAGGGGGCUGUGGGGAAAACUAGGACACUAAUAAAUGGUAAGUGGAGUUGUAAAAUGAUCCAACCAUUCUGGAGAGCAAUUUAGAAUAAUGUCCAAAGGGCUAUCAAACUGUGCAUACCCUUUAAUCCAGCAGUGUUUCUACUGGUCUUGUAUCCUCAAGAGAUUCUAAAGAAGGGAAACGGACCUACAUGUGCAAAACUGUUUGUGGCAUCCCUUUAGGUACUGACAAGCAACUGGAAACAGAGUGGAUUCCUAUCAGAUGGAGAAUGUCUGAAUAAUUUAUAGUAUAAGAAUAUCUGGGAAUAUUAGUGUUCUGUAAGAAAAGAGCAGCAGAAUGAUUUCAGAGAUGGCUGGAGAAACUUACAUGAACUGAUGCUGAGAGAAGUGAAUAGAAUCAGGAAAACAUUGUACACAGCAAGUUUAUAUGAUGACAAUUCUAAUGGACAUGGCUCUUUUCAAGAAUGAAGUGAUUCAAGCCAGUUUCAAGGGUCUUGUAAUGAAGAAAGCAAUCUGCACACAGAGAGGAGACUGUAGGGACUUAGUGUGAAUGACAAAAGCAUUUUCACUUUUGUUGUUGUUUGAAUUUUGUAUUCUUUCUCAUUUUUUUUUCCUUUUUGAUCUGAUUUUUCUUGUGGAACAUGGUGAUUGUGGAAAUAUAUAUAGAAGAAUUGCAAAUAUUUAACAUAUAUUGAAUUAUUUGCCAUUCACAGGAGGGUGUAAGGGGAAAGGAGGGAAAAAUAUUAGAACACAUUUGUCAAGAGUAAAUGUUCAAAACUGUUUAUGCAUGUCUUGAAAACAAAAAGCUUUCAUAAUAAAAUAUGAUAAUUUAAAAAAAACAAUGAGGGCAGCAAGCUCAUCAUCCUUGGAAAAUAUUGAGGUGGCAAUAGUUUAAGCCCUUCAGAGAGAGGUUUUGGUGCCACAACUUGAAGCAGAAGGGAGGGAGAUACAGGUUGAAGAGCUCGGAUACUAUUCUGUAUUUGCAAGUUGAUAGCUCUGCCAGUCCAUUUCCACCUUCUCUGUUCUAUGGUUUCAGGGUUCUUGCUUUUCCCAGAAGGGGGAUAAUUGUCAGAGUUAUACUUCAUGCAGCAAACUUCUUCCGAGCUUGUAGGCUUUGACAUGACAAAGUACUUUGGAAAGCAUUUUGUCUCUGUUAUAGACCCAUUCUAAACAUUCAGAUCUCUGCUCAAAAAUGUUGACCUCUAAAGCAACAGGUCUCUACUAUGCUGUAACUAUAUCAAGGCUAAUCAGGUUCCAGACUAGAUCUCCUACAUCCAAAAAACCUUUGUCCCCAACUGAGAUGUUAAGAAAUUAUCCAUUUCUUACUUUCUCUGCUCUUUUCAAUACCCAUCUUUGCAGCAGACUUUGCAGCAGUCUUUGGACAAUACCACCCACAUUUGGAAGGUUUUUCCCCUUUCUUGCUCCUUUGAGAUAUGAAGAAAUUGCCUCUAAAUUGCUUCUGUUUUUUCAGAAUAACCAAAUUCACUUUUCAAGGUCACCUCCCUAACACUGAUGUGCUAUAUAAAGACAUCCCAUCUAAAACUUGAAUAAUGUUUGAAGAGUCAUGUGGGUCUUUCUUUGAGCAGCUCCUUCACUGAGUCAGUCAGUAGGUAAAGUCCAUGUACUGGUUAGUACUUCUCAGCUUCUUGUUUCAAAAGGUUCGAUCUGGCGAACGGUUCCCAAAUAUUCCUUCUCUGAGCUCCGAGUUGGCUCUAACCAGGACUGAUUCCUGCUCAUCAAGAGGCUGCCCAGUCAUUGUUUGGGGUGGGGGAAGGAGGAGCUCGAGGAAGGUUCUGGGAAGGGGAGGAGCAGCCAGUUUGCUGGUCUCGCAUCUGGUUGGGCGCCAUUUCUUGAGUCGGGGGCCACUGACAUCUCGAGGAACUCCGUCCGACUCUCUGGGAUUCUUCCCCAAGCGGGAGACUUCGAUGCUGAACUCAGCAGAUCAGCCCGUGAAAAGGUCCAUAGUCAGACACUAAGGAGCAGAUCUGGAGAAUCGACACUUGCCUUCCUGGACCUGGCAGCAGGGGAGGGCAAUGUGGAAAUGUUCGACAGCAGCCUGAAAGCAAAGAAAUUUCCAAGAAGAGAUCACAUAUAUUAGAGUUGCAGCAGCAGCAAAUUUCUUCAGUGCCAGAGAAAAUGAACAGAACCAAAGUAAAAGAAGAUGAAAUGGAAACUAAGAAAGAGUCAAGGCCUCCCAGGCGAAAAAUCCAACAAAUGUGGCAUGCCCUGGUGAAAAGAUUGCGCCCAAGGCGCAAUCAAGUGAGGCCAGAAGAGUUGAACGUAGAAGAGGGAAAAGAUAUAUCAAAUAUGCAUUACGGACAAAGAAAUUUAGUCAAGGUAAACUAAUAUAGUAUUGGUGGGGUUUCAGAAUGGUAGAUUAUCAUUACAAAUCACUAUAGCAGCAUCCUUGUGAAAUACCCGUAAUCAAUGUACCCCUCAUCUGUUUCUAACUUUCACCUUAUUGGAAUAAAAGAAAUGGAAUGUAGUGUGCAAACAAGUCAAAAGAAGAGAUUAUGUUUAUGUUCAAAGAACAUUUCUCAAAGCGUUCUUGUGGACAUGCAUGAAAUGCCUGAUAAGUGGAGACUGACUAAAUAAAUUCUAGAUUCCCAAUCAAAAAGAAACAAACUAGGAAUUAAAAUUAUUGAU
rnacentral:lncRNA from 1 species